CUACGGGUGGCUCCAGUGGGGAAUAUUGCACAAUGGAGGAAACUCUGAUGCAGCAACGCCGCGUGGAGGAUGACACUUUUCGGAGCGUAAACUCCUUUUAUAUAGGAAGAUAAUGACGGUACUAUAUGAAUAAGCACCGGCUAACUCCGUGCCAGCAGCCGCGGUAAUACGGAGGGUGCAAGCGUUACUCGGAAUCACUGGGCGUAAAGAGCGUGUAGGCGGGUUAAUAAGUCAGAAGUGAAAUCCUAUGGCUCAACCAUAGAACUGCUUUUGGAACUGUUAACCUAGAAUAUGGGAGAGGUAGAUGGAAUUUCUGGUGUAGGGGUAAAAUCCGUAGAGAUCAGAAGGAAUACCGAUUGCGAAGGCGAUCUACUGGAACAUUAUUGACGCUGAGACGCGAAAGCGUGGGGAGCAAACAGGAUUAGAUACCCCAGUGUC
rnacentral:rRNA from 1 species